UUCCCGUCUGCACACUGAAGUUAAGCAACGUCGAGCCUGCACAGUACCCAGAUGGGCAAGCGCUUGGGAAUACCAGGUGGAUGUAA